rnacentral:rRNA from 1 species
CCUACGGGAGGCAGCAGUGAGGAAUAUUGGUCAAUGGGCUUACGCCUGAACCAGCCAAGUCGCGUGAGGGAAGACUGCCCUAUGGGUUGUAAACCUCUUUUGUCAGGGAGCAACGCCGGCUACGUGUAGCCGGACUGAGAGUACCUGGAGAAAAAGCAUCGGCUAACUCCGUGCCAGCAGCCGCGGUAAUACGGAGGAUGCGAGCGUUAUCCGGAUUUAUUGGGUUUAAAGGGUGCGUAGGCGGAAUGCCAAGUCAGCGGUAAAAUCGCGGGGCUCAACCUCGCUCCGCCGUUGAAACUGGCGUUCUUGAGUGGGCGAGAAGUAUGCGGAAUGCGUGGUGUAGCGGUGAAAUGCAUAGAUAUCACGCAGAACACCGAUUGCGAAGGCAGCAUACCGGCGCCCGACUGACGCUGAAGCACGAAAGCGUGGGGAUCGAACAGGAUUAGAUACCCCUGUAGUC